rnacentral:lncRNA from 1 species
GAGGACUUCAAGUUGAUGGGGUGAAGUGAGGGUGCAGCUGGCAGGGAAGGGGUUGAAGAUUACAGGGCUUAUCAGGUUCCCACUUUAGGGCUCAGUCACACUUCUUGGUAGGCAGCUUUAUUUUCCUUACCACAUCCUUGAUUACAGCUUGUAAAUCUUUAGGCCUGUUCCUUUACCCUCUCAGACAUCCAGUUCAAACAUGUGUAACGAAUUGGAAGAACGGACAUCUGUCACCCUGGACAAGAACUCCAGGCAGGACUGACGAGCUGCCUGCAACCAGCAGCUGA